UUGAGGUUUCGGUAAAGAAAUGUGUUUGUGUUUGCCUUCCUCUGAGUGCAGAAUCAUGCUUAGUAUAGAGGUAAAAAUACUGUCACUGCUGUCUGACGUUAAUGCUCAAAGAAAACAUAAAAAAAUACAUGUAACCACUCCACCGCUUAGAUAUUCUCAUGCUCGCUUGCUGUUUGACCUUUUCAUGCAGUCCUGUAGACACCCUUCCUGUUUAGAAGAGAGGGUUUUAUUGAUGUUUAGGCGGUCAGAGAACAGUUUAAAGCAGUGUGUCGGAGUCGUUCCUUCAGCAUCAUGAUCGCUGUUGUGGUCACUCUGGGCUUCGUCCUGCUUCUGCCAACAUCUGUGUGUCCUGGCAGUCAAGUGAUUCUUGAGAAGACUGUCGGGAACAAACCAGAUGUUACUCCGAUAUGCUUCAAUGAGACGCUGAAUAUCAUCACGAUGAUACGUUGUAAGAUCACAACAGAGAGGAAGAGGGAGCAAGAGUGUCAUCUGGUGUACAGCUAUGAAUAUGACCUUUUUAGUGGAUGUGACUCCAGAUUCAGACUCGUAACCCAGAAUCGGACUGUGUUCCUCCACCUGAGCAGUCUAACAGCAGCUGAUAGUGGAAACUACACCUGUGAGUGUUCGUAUUCUGGAGGAACUGAUGUUUUCCAUCUCAGUGUUACAGUGGAAGAAGAGGUGAGCAGUUCCACAAAAAAAUCUGCUUUAAUUUCUUCAGUUGGUGCAUUAAUACUCAUCACUGUGAUGGGACUUCUUCUGGGAUUUAUUCAUCAGAGGAAAAGUCUCAGAAGCAAAGAAACACCUGGAUUAUCUGUCCGUGAAACUCCUGGCCCUGUGGGUGGAAAUGACCCAGGCGACACGUACAUGAGCCUUCAGUAUCCUUCAGAUGAUCUCUACCAAACUGUCUCCUCAGUUCACCGUCAACACGACACCAACACGAACAACAGAGGAGUCCAUCUGGACAAUGAGGAGCCAACUUAUGAAAUCUAUGAAAACAUUUAAGUCAAGUUAACAUGGUGUAAUGGUGUAAAAGAGCAAAUUAAUAUUUGUAAAAAUAUAAAGCUCAUUUACAGUUUGGUUAACAUAUAAAUUAAAACAUUUUUCCUGUGAUUUUACACUAGAAAACACAGAAACUCUGUAAAAUUACAGUUAAACAAUGUAUUAAGUGUUCUUUAUGCUGAUUUAAAUACAGUAAAGACAGUAACUUUACAGUCAGAUUUGUAAAAAAUGCUCAUUUUCUUCCAUGUUUUUUUAUCGUUGAAAUGCAAUUUUUUUCUGAUAUUACUGAAUCUUAUGUCAUUUAGUAAAUUGUGGAAAGCUGUAAAAUUACAGUUAAAAUUAGCCAAGCUAUCUGCUUCCUCAUAGCCCUUGACACCCAUAUGUGCUGGAAAACCCAAAUAAAACCCACCUCACACCCUGCUUUGUGAAUUUGCUUUGUGCUUGAAAUAUGUCUCAUAGAAUACUGGGUCUAGUUUUGGAGUUAUCUUCUUUUAUUGA